rnacentral:lncRNA from 1 species
GUUAUUUCUGCUGCUAUUUUCAGUGAGGUCUAUUUAAUUUUACUCUUUGCUAGUAGGAAGAAACAAAGUUGGGUUUUGUACAUUUCCUUUUAUGACUUAUACUCUGGCUAAAAGUAAAUGAUUGGGUACAGUGAUCAGAUUUUCUACCUAGAUGACGAUGCUGAAUGAAGAUAACGAUAGACUUCCUCUCACCCUGUGCCCUCCGUUCCUUGUGCUUCUGAUGCACUAACUGGGACCUUGGGAAGAUGGGCCAGAGCAGCGGAGGCAACAUCCUUGCAGCUUGUCUGAUAUUGGAGGAUUUGAUUGUUACAAAAAUGUGUUAUUACUAAACUUGGUAAAAAGUCUGUCAUGAUGUAUAAACCGAGAUAAUUACUUUUUUAAAAAGACUUACUUAAGUUUAUAAGUACGAGUGUUUUACCCGCUUGUGUAUCUGUGUACAACAUGAGGCCAGAAGAGUGCAUGUGAUCCCCUGAAACUGCAGUUAGUUGGUUGUCAGUUGACACGAGAGUGCUGGGAACUGAACUUGGGUCCUCUGGAAGAGGAGCAAGCACCCUUAAUCACUGAGCCUUCCCCAUAGCCUUAAUUUCUAUUUUGUCUGUAGUAAGCUGAGGUAUUUAUUGGCAGUUAACCUCGUGACCCAGUAGAUGGCCCCAUACACAUUCACACAGGGUCAGCACUGAUUGGACUCCGGAAGCUAUUUGUUAUAGGAAGUCAUCAGGGAGGUGGGUUGGUAAGGCCUGGAAGAGUUCAAAGGAAAUAAUAGAGGAUGUGUACAUGCGUGAAAUUGUCAAAGAAUAAAUAAAAAUAACAAUAUUGGAUGGGAGAGAGGGCUCAGCAUUUAAGAGCACUGGCUGCUCUUCCAAAGGAACAAUCGUCUGUGAUCCAGUUCCAAGGGAUCCGGUGCCCUUUUCUGUCCUCCAAGAGUACCAGGCAUGCAUGUGGUCCACAGACACACAUGCAGGCAAAAUGUUCAUACACAUAAAAUAAAAGAACAAAAAAACAUUAAAAAUAAGUGUAGCGA